rnacentral:rRNA from 1 species
UGGGGAAUAUUGGGCAAUGGGGGAAACCCUGACCCAGCAACGCCGCGUGAAGGAAGAAGGCCCUCGGGUUGUAAACUUCUUUUACCAGGGACGAAGGACGUGACGGUACCUGGAGAAAAAGCAACGGCUAACUACGUGCCAGCAGCCGCGGUAAUACGUAGGUUGCAAGCGUUGUCCGGAUUUACUGGGUGUAAAGGGCGUGUAGGCGGAGAUGCAAGUUGGGAGUGAAAUCCCGGGGCUCAACCCCGGAACUGCUUUCAAAACUGUAUCCCUUGAGUGUCGGAGAGGCAAGCGGAAUUCCUAGUGUAGCGGUGAAAUGCGUAGAUAUUAGGAGGAACACCAGUGGCGAAGGCGGCUCUCUGGUCUGCAACUGACGCUGAGGCUCGAAAGCAUGGGUAGCGAACAGGAUUAGAUACCCUGGUAGU